rnacentral:sRNA from 1 species
UUGACAACCCAGGGUACUGAUGGCCUCUUUAUCUACAGAGCAGAUAUGACCUGGGCACCAGCAGUGCAUAAUUCCACUGUGCUGCCCUGCCUACGUGCCUCCACCGCUAGUGUGGAGAGCCCAUCUCCAGGGCUGAUGGAGGAGAGCAGUUUCCUUGGUCUGUUCAGUCUUUGACUUCU